GACGAACGCUGGCGGCGUGCUUAACACAUGCAAGCCGAACGGAAAGGCCCUGCUUUUGUGGGGUGCUCGAGUGGCGAACGGGUGAGUAACACGUGAGUAACCUGCCCUUGACUUUGGGAUAACUUCAGGAAACUGGGGCUAAUACCGGAUAGGAGCUCCUGCUGCAUGGUGGGGGUUGGAAAGUUUCGGCGGUUGGGGAUGGACUCGCGGCUUAUCAGCUUGUUGGUGGGGUAGUGGCUUACCAAGGCUUUGACGGGUAGCCGGCCUGAGAGGGUGACCGGCCACAUUGGGACUGGGAUGCGGCACAGACUCCUACGGGAGGCAGCAGUGGGGAAUGUUGCACAAUGGGCGGAAGCCUGAUGCAGCAACGCCGCGUGCGGGAUGACGGCCUUCGGGUUGUAUACCGCUUUCGCCUGUGACGAAGCGUGAGUGACGGUAAUGGGUAAAGAAGCACCGGCUAACUACGUG
rnacentral:rRNA from 1 species